CGGAGUGGUUCUGGUCAGAGGGCUCUAAGCUGGUGCAGCCUUGUGGUUGGGCUGGUGUCCUGGAGGCUGGCCCUGACCAUGCCCAGAGGGUUGUACCAGGGCCACGGAGAGCCAGUAUUCACAGCCCUCUACCUAGUAGGCCACCUGGGGGAUCCCAUCUCACUGCCAGGAGCAGCACCCUUGGGCCUCUCAGAGUGAGCUUCGCCCUAGCCAGAUGCCCCUCCCCGAUAUCUGCCAGACAAAGGGGGCUGCGCCACUUGCUGAGAAAGGGAGCUGGGAGAGCCACUGGUCCUUGGCCACCUGAGGGGCUUGGCCAGAUUCUGCCGGGCAGGGUGGGCCCAGCCUGCAUGCUCCCUCCCCCCAGGGCCUGCAGCUUGUCCCCUUCCCUUCAGAAUUCCGGCUCUGCUGGGCCCUUCCUGCCCCUCCCCACCUCUUCCUGCCUGGCUCCCUGGGGAGGCCCCUGCUUCCAUCCACUGGGAAGCAGUCCAGUAGCCCCAGUGUGGGGGUGGGAGGCAGUGGCGGAGGGUCCCGGACCCUCAGCAGCUGCCCUCAGAUCUUCCAUGCCAGUGGCAGCCAGGAGCAUUAGGGCAGGGGGAGAGCUCAGGGUUUAGGACGAGGAAUCCACAGACAGAUGAGGGUCCCGCCUGGAGGACCCACGGGGACGGGGCCUGGCCUUCCCAUGAGGGAGCUGGAGGCUCUGGGGCUGCACCUUUGACUCAGCAGCGGGGUGCUGCCAGCCCCAUCAGGGCCCAAUUGGUGGGGAUCAGGGGCGUGUCAGUGCCAGGCAGGUGUGAGAGGGAGAGCAGCAUGUGUUGAAGCAGGUGCACUGGAGAGGCAGCCGAGAAGGUGAGCUCCCUGGGGAAGGACUGGCACAAGUUCUGCCUCAAGUGCGAGCGCUGCAGCAAGACGCUGACGCCCGGGGGCCACGCCGAGCAUGACGGGAAGCCGUUCUGCCACAAGCCGUGCUACGCCACCCUGUUCGGACCCAAAGGCGUGAACAUCGGGGGCGCGGGCUCCUACAUCUACGAGAAGCCCCUGGCGGAGGGGCCGCAGGUCACCGGCCCCAUCGAGGUCCCCGCGGCCCGAGCAGAGGAGCGGAAGGCGAGCGGCCCCCCGAAGGGGCCCAGCAGAGCCUCCAGUGUCACCACUUUCACCGGGGAGCCCAACACGUGCCCGCGCUGCAGCAAGAAGGUGUACUUCGGUGAGUGCGCGCCCGGGCCCCGGACCCCCGCCCCCGCCCCUGCCCCGGGGCUCGGCCUCACUCCUCCCCCUUUCCAGCUGAGAAGGUGACGUCUCUGGGCAAGGAUUGGCACCGGCCCUGCCUGCGCUGCGAGCGCUGCGGGAAGACACUGACCCCCGGCGGGCACGCGGAGCACGACGGCCAGCCCUACUGCCACAAGCCCUGCUAUGGAAUCCUCUUCGGACCCAAGGGAGUGAACACCGGCGCGGUGGGCAGCUACAUCUAUGACCGGGACCCCGAAGGCAAGGUCCAGCCCUAGGCUACAGCGGCUCUCGUGAUGUGGGCUCACCUGCGCCCCAGACCCUGCAGGGGCUCCCCUGCUUGGCUCUGCUGGGAGAGUGCUCAGCCGCCUAGUCCUGCCUGCAAGCCCAGGGCGAGUAUUGGAGGAGGGGCAGCCACGGGCAGAGCGCCAUGCCCAUCCCCGAGUCUCUGGUGUGUCUGCCCCCUCUGGCAUCCUCUGGGCGUCCCAUGAUCCCUUCUGUGUCUGCGUGUCCGAAUCCCCGUGUGACCCUGUCCCAGCAUUUUCCCGCCGACCCUGCGUGUCCCCGUGGCGCUGUCCGCUCUCCCUCUCCUGCUGCCCACCCACCUGCCAGUGUUAUUUAUGCUCCCUUCGUGGGUGAUGGCCACGCCCUCACCAUGUCCCUGGCAGAGGGCUUUCCUCCGGGAUCCCCUGCCUGGUGCCCACACUGCCUCGCAAGCGCUCGCCACCCUCACGUGGCUCACCUGCUGU
rnacentral:sRNA from 1 species